rnacentral:rRNA from 1 species
AGAACGAACGCUGGCGGCAUGCCUAACACAUGCAAGUCGAACGAGACCUUCGGGUCUAGUGGCGCACGGGUGCGUAACGCGUGGGAAUCUGCCCUUGGGUUCGGAAUAACAGCGAGAAAUUGCUGCUAAUACCGGAUGAUGACGUAAGUCCAAAGAUUUAUCGGCCCAAGGAUGAGCCCGCGUAGGAUUAGCUUGUGGUGAGGUAAGAGCUUCGACCGAAGGCGACGAUCCUUAGCUGGUCUGAGAGAUGAUCAGCCACGACUGGGACUGAGACACGGCCCAGACCUCCGUACGGGAGCAGCGAGGUGGGGAAUAGUGGAACAAGUGGGACGAAAG